rnacentral:rRNA from 1 species
GGUUAAGCGACUAAGCGUACACGGUGGAUGCCCUGGCAGUCAGAGGCGAUGAAGGACGUGCUAAUCUGCGAAAAGCGUCGGUAAGGUGAUAUGAACCGUUAUAACCGGCGAUGUCCGAAUGGGGAAACCCAGUGUGAUUCGUCACACUAUCGUUAACUGAAUACAUAGGUUAACGAGGCGAACCGGGGGAACUGAAACAUCUAAGUACCCCGAGGAAAAGAAAUCAACCGAGAUUCCCCCAGUAGCGGCGAGCGAACGGGGAGCAGCCCAGAGUCUGAAUCAGCUUGUGUGUUAGUGGAACGGUCUGGAAAGUCCGACGGUACAGGGUGAUAGUCCCGUACACCAAAAUGCACAGGUUGUGAACUCGAAGAGUAGGGCGGGACACGUGGUAUCCUGUCUGAAUAUGGGGGGACCAUCCUCCAAGGCUAAAUACUCCUGACUGACCGAUAGUGAACCAGUACCGUGAGGGAAAGGCGAAAAGAACCCCGGCGAGGGGAGUGAAAAAGAACCUGAAACCGUGUACGUACAAGCAGUGGGAGCACCUUCGGGUGUGACUGCGUACCUUUUGUAUAAUGGGUCAGCGACUUAUAUUCUGUAGCAAGGUUAACCGUAUAGGGGAGCCGCAGGGAAACCGAGUCUUAACUGGGCGUUAAGUUGCAGGGUAUAGACCCGAAACCCGGUGAUCUAGCCAUGGGCAGGUUGAAGGUUGGGUAACACUAACUGGAGGACCGAACCGACUAAUGUUGAAAAAUUAGCGGAUGACUUGUGGCUGGGGGUGAAAGGCCAAUCAAACCGGGAGAUAGCUGGUUCUCCCCGAAAGCUAUUUAGGUAGCGCCUCGUGAACUCAUCUUCGGGGGUAGAGCACUGUUUCGGCUAGGGGGUCAUCCCGACUUACCAACCCGAUGCAAACUACGAAUACCGAAGAAUGUUAUCACGGGAGACACACGGCGGGUGCUAACGUCCGUCGUGAAGAGGGAAACAACCCAGACCGCCAGCUAAGGUCCCAAAGUCAUGGUUAAGUGGGAAACGAUGUGGGAAGGCACAGACAGCCAGGAUGUUGGCUUAGAAGCAGCCAUCAUUUAAAGAAAGCGUAAUAGCUCACUGGUCGAGUCGGCCUGCGCGGAAGAUGUAACGGGGCUAAACCAUGCACCGAAGCUGCGGCAGCGACACUAUGUGUUGUUGGGUAGGGGAGCGUUCUGUAAGUCUGCGAAGGUGACCUGUGAGGGUUGCUGGAGGUAUCAGAAGUGCGAAUGCUGACAUAAGUAACGAUAAAGCGGGUGAAAAGCCCGCUCGCCGGAAGACCAAGGGUUCCUGUCCAACGUUAAUCGGGGCAGGGUGAGUCGACCCCUAAGGCGAGGCCGAAAGGCGUAGUCGAUGGGAAACAGGUUAAUAUUCCUGUACUUGGUGUUACUGCGAAGGGGGGACGGAGAAGGCUAUGUUAGCCGGGCGACGGUUGUCCCGGUUUAAGCAUGUAGGCUGAUUAUCCAGGCAAAUCCGGAUAAUCAAGGCUGAGGUGUGAUGACGAGGCACUACGGUGCUGAAGUAACAAAUGCCCUGCUUCCAGGAAAAGCCUCUAAGCAUCAGGUAACAUCAAAUCGUACCCCAAACCGACACAGGUGGUCAGGUAGAGAAUACCAAGGCGCUUGAGAGAACUCGGGUGAAGGAACUAGGCAAAAUGGUGCCGUAACUUCGGGAGAAGGCACGCUGGUGUGUAGGUGAAGUCCCUGCGGAUGGAGCUGAGACCAGUCGAAGAUACCAGCUGGCUGCAACUGUUUAUUAAAAACACAGCACUGUGCAAACACGAAAGUGGACGUAUACGGUGUGACGCCUGCCCGGUGCCGGAAGGUUAAUUGAUGGGGUUAUCCGUAAGGAGAAGCUCUUGAUCGAAGCCCCGGUAAACGGCGGCCGUAACUAUAACGGUCCUAAGGUAGCGAAAUUCCUUGUCGGGUAAGUUCCGACCUGCACGAAUGGCGUAAUGAUGGCCAGGCUGUCUCCACCCGAGACUCAGUGAAAUUGAACUCGCUGUGAAGAUGCAGUGUACCCGCGGCAAGACGGAAAGACCCCGUGAACCUUUACUAUAGCUUGACACUGAACAUUGAGCCUUGAUGUGUAGGAUAGGUGGGAGGCUUUGAAGCGUGGACGCCAGUCUGCGUGGAGCCAACCUUGAAAUACCACCCUUUAAUGUUUGAUGUUCUAACGUUGGCCCCUUACCGGGGUUGCGGACAGUGUCUGGUGGGUAGUUUGACUGGGGCGGUCUCCUCCCAAAGCGUAACGGAGGAGCACGAAGGUUAGCUAAUCCUGGUCGGACAUCAGGAGGUUAGUGCAAUGGCAUAAGCUAGCUUGACUGCGAGCGUGACGGCGCGAGCAGGUGCGAAAGCAGGUCAUAGUGAUCCGGUGGUUCUGAAUGGAAGGGCCAUCGCUCAACGGAUAAAAGGUACUCCGGGGAUAACAGGCUGAUACCGCCCAAGAGUUCAUAUCGACGGCGGUGUUUGGCACCUCGAUGUCGGCUCAUCACAUCCUGGGGCUGAAGUAGGUCCCAAGGGUAUGGCUGUUCGCCAUUUAAAGUGGUACGCGAGCUGGGUUUAGAACGUCGUGAGACAGUUCGGUCCCUAUCUGCCGUGGGCGCUGGAGAAUUGAGGGGGGCUGCUCCUAGUACGAGAGGACCGGAGUGGACGCAUCACUGGUGUUCGGGUUGUCAUGCCAAUGGCACUGCCCGGUAGCUAAAUGCGGAAGAGAUAAGUGCUGAAAGCAUCUAAGCACGAAACUUGCCCCGAGAUGAGUUCUCCCUGAGACUUUAAGUCUCCUGAAGGAACGUUGAAGACGACGACGUUGAUAGGCCGGGUGUGUAAGCGCAGCGAUGCGUUGAGCUAACCGGUACUAAUGAACCGUGAGGCUUAACCUU